rnacentral:rRNA from 1 species
GACGAACGCUGGCGGCGCGCUUAACACAUGCAAGUCGAGCGGGGAUGUUGACUUCGGUUGACAUUCUAGCGGCGGACGGGUGAGUAACGCGUGAACAAUCUGUCCCAGACAGGGGGAUAACAGAUGGAACAUCUGCUAAUACCGCAUAAGACCACGGGAUCACAUGAUCAAGGGUAAAGAUUUAUCGGUCUGGGGUGAGUUCGCGUCCGAUUAGCUAGUUGGUGAGGUAAGGCCCACCAAGCGACGAUCGGUAGCCGACCUGAGAGGGUGAUCGGCCACGAUUGGAACUGAGACACGGUCCAA